rnacentral:rRNA from 1 species
UGGGGAAUAUUGCACAAUGGGCGCAAACCUGAUGCAGCCAUGCCGCGUGUGUGAAGAAGGCCUUCGGGUUGUAAAGCACUUUCAGCGAGGAGGAAGGGUAGUGUGUUAAUAGCACAUUGCAUUGACGUUACUCGCAGAAGAAGCACCGGCUAACUCCGUGCCAGCAGCCGCGGUAAUACGGAGGGUGCAAGCGUUAAUCGGAAUUACUGGGCGUAAAGCGCACGCAGGCGGUUUGUUAAGUCAGAUGUGAAAUCCCCGCGCUUAACGUGGGAACUGCAUUUGAAACUGGCAAGCUAGAGUCUUGUAGAGGGGGGUAGAAUUCCAGGUGUAGCGGUGAAAUGCGUAGAGAUCUGGAGGAAUACCGGUGGCGAAGGCGGCCCCCUGGACAAAGACUGACGCUCAGGUGCGAAAGCGUGGGGAGCAAACA